GCUAUAUAAGGGUCCGAAAUGAAAAAUGUAAAACAAUUUAAACGAGAAAACCAAGGGCCUAAUUUAUGUAAAAAAGUAAGAACGAAAUACAAUUAAAGUAUAUUAACCAAUAACAACCCAGUGUAUAUAUUUAUAAAGGUGUUAUAUCAGCAAUCACUUAUUUACAUUUCCAGUACUAACUGUACAUCUGUAAUGAAUAGAUCGAGGAUAUGACCGAGUAAUAUCAUUCAUAGCUUUGACACGCUUUUAGAAAAUGUCAGCGCUGUAGAUCUCAUUUUGCAUAUCAGUAUUUGAUGAAGACUUACAGAUCUACUUUGUAUUUAGUUCCCGUUAGUAUAUGCAACAAAACUUUACACAAAAGAAAGAGAAAAAAUACGGAGUGGCUAUUGGUCCGGCUAGCCGGACGAAUAGUGCCAGGGCUAUUUGUCCGGCCAUGGCAAUGCUCGUGUCAUAUAAUGUGCGUUCGGAAGUGCGUGUAAUAUUAUCUUCAGAAGCACCAAGCGUGUAAUCCGAUCACUGAUUUUCAAUUUUAAUAUCAUGGCUGAAAACGGCGAUAUCAAUAUUUGUGAUAAAGUCUUCGCAAUUUGACAAUGAAACACGAUAGUAUAUGAACUUCCGAGAAUGAUAUAAAAGGGACUAAAAAAUGAAAUCACAAGGAAAAUGGGAAAUAACUUGGAUAAUUGAUCGGAGAACUAUAGUUUUACAAAAUUAUUCGGCUCACUAUAGCUGUGUAAAUGGUGGAAAAAAUGUUCAAAGCAAGAGUAGUUGAGAAAGGCCUUUAUAAUUGCAUGUCUAACUGAAUAAAAAAAUAAUUU
rnacentral:lncRNA from 1 species